rnacentral:tRNA from 1 species
ACCCUCGUAGCACAGUUGGCUAGAGCGUUGGCUGUACUAUCACCCUUGAUGACGUGGGUUCGAAUCCCACCGAGGCGG